CUCACAUGGAAGGUUUGACUUAGGUUUCAUUUUGUUUUCUUUCUUCCUUCCAUUCUCACUCAUUUGAUCAUCAAAAAGCUUUAUGCUACACAUGAAACUCAUAGGAAAAGGUCCAAUGAAUCCAUUCCCACCAUUAGUUUGAACUACCAUUGUUUGUGUGAGGAGAUAUUCUCUUCCCCCUUUGCGUGGCACUAUUCAUCAAGAAGGCAAAAUGGAGCUUUUGAUGGAGAUUCUCUUGGUGAAUGUCUUCUAGGUUUUGGAUAGGUGAUUAGAGGUGUGCCUAGGGAUUGAGAAGGAUCGGAAAUCUCUUGAAGCGAUAAAAGUAACUUGUUCCACAAGUAAGCGUAUUGGUAAAGCUUCAAGAGGUGCCCAGAUUCCCGGUGAGUCCUCACUAGGCAGGGACACGACACGUGGCUGAGGCAGUUGACAGAUUGGAUUUUGAGUGGCUGUAGGCUACUACCUUUUUGGAGUGUUUGAUGUAUUUUAGUAUUUUCGCAUUUGAUGGAUCAUGAUAUUGAUCCUUUAUUGUGUAUAUGGCCUGUAUAUGUUUUGUACAUGUCUGUCGCUUUGAUGCAUGUACAUUUGGGUAUUCAGGCACGUUAUAUGAUGAGGUAGUAUUCAGAUAUGUUUACGUGUUGGAUUGCAUGCUGUUAGAUAUAGUGGCACUGAGCCAAGUUAUGCAUGCGCCCAUGG